GGUGGCUCAGUGGCAGAGCACUUGCCUUGCAUGCAUGAGGCCCUGGGUUCGAUUCCCCAGCACCA
rnacentral:tRNA from 1 species